GCCUUCUUAGCUCAGGGGUAGAGCGUUCCACUCGUACAAUAUGAUGGAAAGGUCGCUAGUUCGAAUCUGGUAGGAGGCA